AUUGAACGCUGGCGGCAGGCCUAACACAUGCAAGUCGAACGAGUGGCGGACGGGUGAGUCAUGUCUGGGAAACUGCCUGAUGGAGGGGGAUAACUACUGGAAACGGUAGCUAAUACCGCAUACCAUCAGAUGUGCCCAGAUGGGAUUAGAUAGUAGGUGGGGUAACGGCUCACCUAGGCGACGCUCCCUAGCUGGUCUGAGAGGAUGACCAGCCACACGGGAACUAGGACACGGUCCAGACUCCGACGGGAGGCAGCAGUGGGGAAUAUUGCACAAUGGGCUCGAGCCUGAUGCAGCCAUGCCGCGUGUGUUAAGAAGGCCUUCGGGUUGUAAAGCACUUUCAGCGGGGAGGCGUUACCCGCAGAAGAAGCACCGGCUAACUCCGGGCCAGCAGCGGCGGUAAUUC
rnacentral:rRNA from 1 species